GGAGGCGUGGCGGAACGGCAGACGCAGCGGACUUAAAAUCCGCCGGGGCAACCUGUGGGGGUUCAAAUCCCCCCGCCUCUACCA
rnacentral:tRNA from 1 species